rnacentral:rRNA from 1 species
UACAGAGGGUGCGAGCGUUGUUCGGAAUUAUUGGGCGUAAAGCGCUUGUAGGCGGCCUGAAAAGUCUCGUGUGAAAUCCCCUGGCUUAACCAGGGAAGUGCGCGAGAAACUGUUGGGCUUGAGUGCCGGAGAGGGUCGCGGAAUUCCCGGUGUAGAGGUGAAAUUCGUAGAUAUCGGGAGGAACACCAGUGGCGAAGGCGGCGACCUGGACGGACACUGACGCUGAGACGCGAAAGCGUGGGGAGCAAACAGG